GCAAGUGUGAAGCCCUGGGAUAAAACUCCAGUCCCUCUGGGCCUCUCAUAGUGUCCCAUGCCAGAGCAAGCUGUGGCUCUGAACCACUGCCUGGCCCCCUCUACCUGUAGGCUGCUGGCACUGAAGUGGGUUACACAGUG
rnacentral:snoRNA from 1 species